AUCACAGACAAAAUACAGUAGAAUUGAGAAAGAGUUCAAGAAAGGGUGGACAGCAUUUGUAGCAACUCUGUGAGAGAUAUCUGAAUAUUCAAGGACUUCUCAAGCUGGCAAACAAGCUGGAAGUGCUACAGAAGUCUGCAAAACCAGUAUACUUCCAUGCAUGAGCUUUUGUUGGUAACAUAAGCUUGCUGUGCAGAAGUGAUUUGCCAAUAGCAUUUCUGGAAAGGAAAGGAAAUGAAACUGUUGAAGAACGACAAGUUUGACUGUGCCAGGCAGAAGGCCUUACGGUUUCAACUGUCUAUUCCAUAAAGGAUAUAGACAGGCUUGGAUGUUUUUUUUUCACAUUUUAUCUGGAUGAGAGACAUUACAUCCAUCAACUUCACUAAGGUUAAUCUAACUCAGAACAAAGUGUUGAAGUGGAAGAUUUAACUGGGAAUACAAGUUACUGACCAGACACCUAAGGCAACUGGACCCUUAACUCAUACAAGUUAAUUACAUCUCUAAACCUGGGUGAUAUGAACUACAAGGCUAUCUAUGGAGCAAUAGCUUAGGGCCACUGUGAUUGCUCUUGCUUUCUAUGCAUCUGCUUUGGAAGAAUGGAGAUGUGGAACCAGUCUCAAAGGUCUACCUGGAGGACAAAUUUUAUGGUGGAAGUGCAUCUAUAUUUGAAGUCUGAAGCAGUUCCGGAAACUCUGGGAAUAGCAUUCAUUUGUUCUCUGUGGGACUAUUCAAAGCUAUUUCUUUAAGCAUUAAAACUGGAAAGUUUGGAUAAAGUAUAUUAGGUUAAAACAAUCUCAAGAUCCUGGGUGAUAUGUCUAUUACAGAGAAAAUAGCAUGUUCAUAUUAAUUACUGCUCCUAUACAAAUAUUUCUAGUUAGAAAAUACUUUUAUAUAAGCGUUUUUUUUUUCUUUUCUUAGUUAAAAACUUGAAUUUGAAUUUCAAAGUAAUUUCCUGUGCCUAGGAAAAAAUCUUUGCUUUAGGCCUGUUGUGGAAUUAAUGCAAUUUAUCUCUUAUUUCUCCUUUGCAGCCUCUGAAUCUAUAGACAUGAGGCCAACGAUAAAUUAUAUCUCCAGAACUUUAUACUCAAGGAUCACUGAUAAUGAAUUCCUCAAAUUCAUAAAGUAUCAUGAUUAUAGUACCUUCAUAGGCAUUUACGAUUCUUUAUACAGCCUUUAUAUAAAGGAUUUUAAGACAUAUCCUUGUGUUCUUGUUGUUAAGGUUUUUUUGUUUUGUUUUGUUUUGUUUUGUUUCCAAAGAAGUUAGCUACAAUAAGCUAGUGUACACACCAUAUUUUUUUUCAGUCACCAGUAAUGCCUUUGUGCUUUCUUAUUACACUGCAUGGUACUUUAAUGAUUGAAUAAGUGUCGUCCACUAGAUAUAGCUAAAAUGUCAGCAACACUGGUAAAGGUAAGGGAAAAGAAAGAACAUGCCAUACAAAGCCAUAUGCUGCAAUGCUUUGUAAAGACACUGCUGUCAGUCAGUACCCAUCAAUGUUGCUAGUGUAAAGCAUAACGUUCAUUAUGUAUUUAAUUAAUGUGAACUGAGAUAAAGUUCAGUUAUAUAGUGCAUUAAUCCACAUGAAAUACACAGAAAUUCAUGGAAUUUGUUGUGAGAAAGGGGAGAUCAUCUUGGUUGAGAUUACACGGCAUGGCGUGGUGUCCAGGGGAUCAGAUCCAGUUAGCAUGGGUUUAUGAAAGGCAGGUCGUGCUUGACAAACCUCAUCUCCUCCUACGGCUGGGUGACCAGACUGAUAGAUACGACCAGGCUGUCGAUGUAGUCUACCUAGACUUCAGCAAAUCCUUUGACAUGGUCUCUCACAGUAUUCUCCUGGGAAAACUGCCUGCCCAUGGCCUGGACAGAUGUACCCUUAUUUGGGUAACGAACUGACUAGAGGGCUGUGCCCAACAGGUAGUAGUUAAUGAAGUUAAGUCCAGUUGCUGACCAGUCACAAGUGCUGUCCUCCAGGGGUCGGUACUGGGGCCCAUCUUGUUUAAUAUCGUUAUCGAUGAUCUAGAUGAGGGGAUUGAGUGUACCCUCAGUAAGUUUGCAGAUGACACCAAGUUGGGAGGCAGCGUCAAUCUGCCUGGAGGUAGUGAGGCCCUUCAGAGGGAUGUGGAUAGGAUGAAUUACUGGGCUGAAGUGAAUAGGAUGAGGCUCAACAUGGCCAAGUGCCAAGUCCUGUACUUUGACCACAAUAACUCCAUGCAGUGCCAUAGGCUUGCGGCUUAGUGGCUGGAUGACUGUGAAGAGGAAAGGGACCUGGAGGUGUUGGUUGAUGCUUGACUGAACAUGAGCCGACAGCGAGCCCAGGUGACCAGGAGGGCCAAUGCCAUCCUGGCCUGCAUUAGAAAUAGUGUGGCCAGCAGGAGCAGGGAAGUAAUCAUCCCCCUGUACUCAGCACUGGUGAGGCCACACCUUGAGUACUGUGUUCAGUUUUGGGCCCCUAACUACAGGAAAGACAUGGAGGCCCUGGAACAUGUCCAGAGAAGGGCAAUGAAACUGGUGAAGGGUCUGGAGCAUAGGUCUUAUGAGGAGCAGCUGAGGGAGCUGGGAUUGUUUAGGCUGGAGGAGGCUCAGAGGAGACCUCAUUGCACUCUACAACUUCCUGAAGGGAGGUUGUGAUGAGGAAGGGUUUGGCCUCUUCUCCCAGGCAACAAACAGGACCCAAGGAAAUGGCCAGAAGUUGUACCAGAGGAAGCUUAGGUUAGACAUAAGGAAAACUUUUUCUCUCAGAGAGUAGUCAGGCACUGGAAUGGCCUGCCCAAGGAGGUAGUGGAGUCGCCAUCCCUGGUAGUUUUCAAGAGGUGUCUGGAUGAGGAGCUAUGAGAUAUGGUUUAGUGGCUUGUGGUAGCAAGAGUAAUGGAAGGACGGUUGGACUAGAUGAUCUUAUAGGUCCUUUCCAAACUUGUGAUUCUAUGAUUCUAAGAUGGAGAAAUGAAUGAAUGGGAAACAGUCCUUGUGCCUAGUAACUGACAGACUAACAGAUCAAAUCACAUAUGUGUUAAGCAUCCGAGCAAAAUAUUGUGAUGUCUAAGAAAAAAUAAUUGUAAAAUAUCUACAAAUGACUCAGUUGCAAUUUUUCUUCCUGUUAUAUGGUGAUUGGAAUAUGACUGGAGACAGGGACAACAAACAUCAAGGAAUAAAUCAGAUCAGCAUUUGCUGUUGUGCAGUUUUUAGAGAAACAAGACUUAAUGUAAUUGCUUUCAAAUGCAUAUGAUGUUUAAUUAAAAAGAUCACAAUAAGUGGUACAAAAGUGCAUUUAUUAGCCUAUUUAGGUAACUUGCUUAGAAUCAUAAUAUCAUGGAAUGGCUUAGUUUGGAAGGCAUUGUAAACAUAAUCUAGUUCAAACUCUCCUACUAUGGGCAGGGUUCUGAUCCACUAGAUCAUACUGCCCACGGCCCCUUCCAACCUGGUCUUGAACACCUCUAGGGAUAGAGCAUUCUUAACUUCUCUCAGGGUAGCCUACUGCAAUGCCUCAAAACCCUCUGGAUAAAAAAAUUUCUUCCCAACAUUUAAAUCUCCCCUCUUUUAUCUUCAAACCGUUUCCCCUUGGCCCAUCACUAGAUAUCUGUGUAAGAGACGGAAUUCCCUCCUCUUUAUAAGCUCCCUUCAAGUACUAGAAGGCUGCAGUUAGGUGUCCACUGAGUCUACUCUUCCCCAAGCUAAACAAGCCCAAUUCCAUCAACCUUUCUUCCUAGGAGAGGCUCUUCAGCCCUCUGAUCAUCUUUGUGGGCCUCCUAUGAACCCUCUCCAACAGCGCUGCAUCUUUCUUGUGCUGGAGGCUCCAGAUCUGGACACAGUAUUCCAGAUGGGGCCUCACAAGGGCUGAGUAGAGGGGGACCAUCAUCCCCUCUCCCUGCUGACCACACCUCUUUUGAUGCAGCCAAGAAUAGAGUUGGCCUUUUGGAUUGCAAGAGAACACUGUCGGCUCAUGUCAAUAUUUUUGUACACCAGAACCCUCAAGUCCUUCUCCACAGGACUGUUCUCAAUCAAUUAUUUCUUCUCCCAGUUGGUACUCAUUUCUAGGUUACUCCAACAAAAUUAUGAAUCUGAUUUUAUCUUCUGUUCCUUUGUAUGCCUUUAUUAUACUUGACUGACUCUUUGAAAAUGAAUGCAUAUGAAAAGAAUAUCUAAAAGUUCAUUUUUAACUACAAGAAAUUAACAAAUUCUUUUUCCUGCCUUCAGCAUAUGCCUGUGUUUUAAUUUUUACGUAUGUAUGAAUAUAUGUGUCUAUAUUGUAUACCCAUUAAUAAAAUAGUAUCAGCAUUGCACCAAAUCCACUUUUUUUUAACAAAGAUUAUCUCAAAAAUCACCUUUUGGAUUGAAGCUUUCUGAAAAUAAUUGGCUCUUAAAUUUUGAAAUAUGAAGCAUAUUUAGACAAAUACAAUGUUUAUCAGAAAUAUUUAUGUAGGCCUAUUUCCCUCAUUUUGUAGCAGCACUGCUUUAAAAUUAUUGAUGAACUAGUCAUAGGAAUCACUCUUUUAAGUUCUCUACCUCUUACAUGGGAAAAUGUUGCUAACCUUUUUGCUAGGAGGCUGCUUGUGGAUCUUAUUUCAAAACUUUUUACCCACCUUGUUGGCAGCAGCUCAGGUCCGCUGUUUGACAGUAAUGCCAACCUCUACAUCUCCAUGUUUGAUGCAACUAUUUCCACAUUCAGUGAUGGAAGUUAGACAGUCCUACUGUAGCUUAUACAGUUGCAGAGUGCUCCAUGGAUCAUAUGAAGGUCAAGAAGAAGUUUUAUAUACACAAAUGAAUACAUAUAUAUAAGUAUAUUGAUACAGUUAUAUGUAUGUACAUGUAUUUAUAUGCAAAUAUGUGUUUAUAUGUGUAUUUGUAUAUAUAAACCUAAAAUGAAAUCUUGUUCUAUUGAAUUAAAAC
rnacentral:lncRNA from 1 species